GAGGGAUUAGCUCAAAUGGUAGAGCGCUCGCUUAGCAUGCGAGAGGUACCGGGAUCGAUACCCGGACUCUCCA
rnacentral:tRNA from 1 species